UACGUAGGGUGCAAGCGUUAAUCGGAAUUACUGGGCGUAAAGCGUGCGCAGGCGGUUUUGUAAGUCAGAUGUGAAAUCCCCGGGCUUAACCUGGGAACUGCGUUUGAAACUACAAGGCUAGAGUGUGGCAGAGGGGGGUGGAAUUCCACGUGUAGCAGUGAAAUGCGUAGAGAUGUGGAGGAACACCGAUGGCGAAGGCAGCCCCCUGGGUUAACACUGACGCUCAUGCACGAAAGCGUGGGGAGCAAACGGGG
rnacentral:rRNA from 1 species